rnacentral:rRNA from 1 species
CCUACGGGUGGCAGCAGUGGGGAAUUUUGCGCAAUGGGCGAAAGCCUGACGCAGCAACGCCGCGUGUGUGAUGAAGGUCUUCGGAUUGUAAAGCACUUUCGACCGGGACGAAAACCCUCUGGCUAACAUCCAGGGGCUUGACGGUACCGGGAGAAGAAGCACCGGCUAACUCUGUGCCAGCAGCCGCGGUAAUACAGAGGGUGCAAGCGUUGUUCGGAAUUAUUGGGCGUAAAGCGCGUGUAGGCGGCUUUGCAAGUCGGGUGUGAAAGCCCUCAGCUCAACUGAGGAAGUGCGCCCGAAACUGCAGAGCUUGAGUGCCGGAGAGGGUGGCGGAAUUCCCCAAGUAGAGGUGAAAUUCGUAGAUAUGGGGAGGAACACCGGUGGCGAAGGCGGCCACCUGGACGGUAACUGACGCUGAGACGCGAAAGCGUGGGGAGCAA